rnacentral:misc_RNA from 1 species
GAAAUGCGAUAAGUAAUGUGAAUUGCAGAAUUCAGUGAAUCAUCGAAUCUUUGAACGCACCUUGCACCCUUUGGUAUUCCGAAGGGUACGCCCGUUUGAGUGUCAUUGUAAUCUCACUUCCACACCUUUAUUGUUGUUGGAAUGUGGACUUGGACGUUGCGGUGUUACAACCGCUCGUCUCAAAUGCUUGAGUGUACCCUGCUUUGCAGCGUAUCGGGUGUGAUAAACAUUUCACCAGAGUUGGUCGCAAGACCGCGCUUUUGCUUAGUAUCAAGGCUCUAUGCUUCGAACCGUCUCUCACGAGACAAUCUCUGACAAUUUGACCUCAAAUCGGGUGGGACUACCCGCUGAACUUAA